rnacentral:rRNA from 1 species
GACAGAGGGUGCAAACGUUGUUCGGAAUUACUGGGCGUAAAGCGCGUGUAGGCGGCCCUGUAAGUCGGGUGUGAAAUCCCACGGCUCAACCGUGGAAGUGCAUUCGAAACUACAGGGCUAGAGUUCUGGAGAGGAAGGUGGAAUGCUUGGUGUAGAGGUGAAAUUCGUAGAUAUCAAGCGGAACACCGGUGGCGAAGGCGGCGAUCUGGGACGGUACUGACGCUGAGACGCGAAAGCGUGGGGAGCGAACAGG